UACGGGGGGGGCAAGCGUUGUUCGGAAUUACUGGGCGUAAAGGCUCGUAGGCGGCCAACUAAGUCAGACGUGAAAUCCCCAGCUCAACCUGGGAACUGCGUCUGAUACUGGAUGGCUUGAAUCCGGGAGAGGGAUGCAGAAUUCCAGGUGUAGCGGUGAAAUGCGUAGAUAUCUGGAGGAAUACCGGUGGCGAAGGCGGCAUCCUGGACCGGCAUUGACGCUGAGGAGCGAAAGCCAGGGGAGCAAAGCGGG
rnacentral:rRNA from 1 species